rnacentral:rRNA from 1 species
UUCAACAACGGAUCUCUUGGUUCUGGCAUCGAUGAAGAACGCAGCGAAAUGCGAUAAGUAAUGUGAAUUGCAGAAUUCAGUGAAUCAUCGAAUCUUUGAACGCACAUUGCGCCCGCCAGUAUUCUGGCGGGCAUGCCUGUUCGAGCGUCAUUUCA